AGUUGAUCAGAUUGGAGCUGGUUUUGAAUCUUCAAUUUGUUGGUGGUGUACGAUAAACAAAAACGUAGACAGAAUCAAUUACAUCCAUUACAAACGUGCAAAAACUGGGCAACUGGACACAGGCUGGUUUCAAGGCGGUGCACGAGCAGCUGGCCGCUACCUCACUGAUGGCUUUCCAAAGCCGCAUUGCUCUUGACAUGCUGCUAGCUGAAAAAGGGGGGGUGUGUGCUAUUUUUGGAGAAAGGUGCUGCACAUU